UCAAAGUACAGUGCAACAUGUGUCCUCAUUUUAUGGUUCUUGAAUUCCAUGGCUCAGAAAUAAUCGGAUCUGGCCCUGCUGUGCUUGGUGCAACACCGGGGUAAGGGUGCUGCCUAAUCAAUGCAGAAUGCUUUGAGAGACAUCAAUUAAUGAUGGCAGAAG